rnacentral:piRNA from 1 species
UGGUGUAUAUCCAUCAUCGCCUGAAUAGUU